rnacentral:rRNA from 1 species
GACGAACGCUGGCGGCGUGCUUAACACAUGCAAGUCGAACGGACAGACAGAGAGCUUGCUCUCUUGAAGUUAGUGGCGAACGGGUGAGUAACGCGUAAUCAACCUGCCCUUCAGAGGGGGAUAACAACGGGAAACCGUUGCUAAUACCGCGUACGAUUCAUGAACGGCAUCGUUUAUGAAUGAAAGGUGGCCUCUAUGUAUAAGCUAUCGCUGAAGGAGGGGAUUGCGUCUGAUUAGCUAGGUGGAGGGGUAACGGCCCACCAAGGCAAUGAGCAGUAGCCGGUCUGAGAGGAUGAACGGCCACAUUGGGACUGAGACACGGCCCAAACUCCUACGGGAGGCAGCAGUGGGGAAUCUUCCGCAAUGGACGAAAGUCUGACGGAGCAACGCCGCGUGAGUGAUGAAGGUCUUCGGAUUGUAAAGCUCUGUUAAUCGGGACGAAAGAGUUCUGCGUGAAUAAUGCAGAAAAGUGACGGUACCGGAAUAGAAAGCCACGGCUAACUACGUGCCAGCAGCCGCCGCCG